rnacentral:pre_miRNA from 14 species
AUCUGGUAAUGAAAGACCCCCGGAGUGGGGAGACCCUCACUCCAAUCUCGGGAUGACGCGAACCCCCAAGAACUCACACAAGACC